AUGCCCCUGUGCGAUAAAGCCAAUGCAGGCCUGCAACAUAUCCUGUCGGGAUGCAAUGUUGCACUGACGCAGGGCCGCUUUAGAUGGUGGCACAACCAGGUUCCUCAGAACAGGAGAAGUGGGGCAGACUACUGGUACAGAGAGAACAAGGUGCCUAUUCGCACCUUGAACGGAAUGUUGUUCAAUGCUCUAAUGUGGAUGGGUCUUGUCUACUUCAGUCUCUUGAUUUCUCUUUAUUCUCUGGUGUUUUCAGCUCCUCUGCCUGUUCCUGUCCUCAUCCUCAACUCUUCUCAAUGUCCUUCAUCCUCAUCUUCAUCAGUGCAGUAUUGUUCAGUGCUGUGUUCAGUGGUGAAUGUGAGCGCUGUGAGUCUCUCCUGGUACAAAGGAAACAGUUUAUUGUCCAGCAUCAGUGUGUCUGAUCUCAGCAUCAGUCUCUCUCUACCUCUGGAGGUGGAAUAUCAGGAGAAAAACACCUACAGCUGUGUGAUCAACAACACCAUCAGCAACCAGACUCAACAUCUGGACAUCAGUCAACUCUGUCCCACAUGUUCAGGCUCUGUUCACUGCUGUGGUCCUACUGAAGCUGCGAUCCGAUUGGUCCUCUCUGUUCUGGUGGGCGUGGCUACUGUCAUUAUUGUGCUUUAUGACAUCAGAUCCAGAAGAGCUGAACAAGAUCAAGCACAUAUUCACGCAUCACAAACCUGAAUGAUGAUGUCAGAGAACUGCUUUCAGUCAUUUCAGCUUCAAUUAUUUUGAAGAUUUUA